AGUGUCUCCCUUUUAUAAACCCGGUUAUUCCUGGGACGGAACCGGGUUGAGUUUGGCUGCUGGCUCAGUGUAGCUGUAUUAUCGUCACUAUUGGUGUGAGGCUCCUUGAUGGGGUUGUAAACCGCUUCGCUUGUGCUGGUAUCUGCACCAGCCCCUCCUUUCCCUGUCACGCUGCUGUUUUGUCUCAACUAUUGUUUUAACUGUAAACUGCUUAACCAGAUAUAGCUACAGGAACUCACUCCAAGCUCUGAACGCCGCUACGUGCCUUCCAGCACCAGGACCUGUUGCCCAAUUGGGUGUCUGGCAGGGCUGUAUUUGAGUGAUUGAUGCCACAGAUGACAGAUCUUUUGGACUGAUUGUGCUCCUUAAUGUGUGUGGAGAUUGGGGUCUAUGUUUAUGGGUUUUGUUAAAUUUAUGAUUAAGUGAUUCUUUUGGUUAAUUUAUAUUUCUUAAAGUUUUGAUUUUCAUUUUUGCUGAAAUUUUGAUUAGUUGAACUUUGGUUCUUUUUGUUAGGCUCUAGGCAGCUACUAAGUCCCCUUUGCUGCCUAGAAUUGCCUUAGAUUGAAGUUGCUUUUGUUUUCAUUUAUUUUUGGUUUAUUGAUUUAUUUCCCUCCCCAAUAAUUGACUGUUCACUCUCCCACAGUGCUGAGUGCCGAAAGUGGUGGUGUCGGUGUCCUCGGUGGUGGUCUCUUCUUGUGUGCUGUGUUUUCCCUUGGUUGAUUAUUUUGGGUUUUUCAUCACCGUGUGUGUAUGUGUGUGUGUGUGUGUGAGUGUUCACGUGUGAUUGGGGAAUCCUUCCCUGAGAUCCCACACCCCUUGACCCUACCUCGCCACUGGUAAGGCCUCAGCACUCAUUUCCCCUAUUUUAGGAUGUAUUUUAGUAAUUGUAUGAAUAAAAUUGUCUUUUAACGGAA